rnacentral:rRNA from 1 species
GACGAACGCUGGCGGCGUGCCUAACACAUGCAAGUUGAGCGACGAACCAGGGCUUGCCCUGGGGCAAAGCAGCGAACGGGUGAGUAACACGUGGGUAACCUACCCCGAUAACCGGGACAACCCGAGGAAACUCGGGCUAAUACCGGAUGUGCUCACUGGACUUCGGUUCAGUGCGUAAAGGAAGCUUCGGCCUCCGUAUCGGGAGGGGCCCGCGGCCCAUUAGUUUGUUGGCGAGGUAACGGCUCACCAAGACCGCGAUGGGUAGCUGGUCUGAGAGGACGAUCAGCCACACUGGGACUGAGACACGGCCCAGACUCCUACGGGAGGCAGCAGUGGGGAAUCUUGCGCAAUGCGCGAAAGCGUGACGCAGCAACGCCGCGUGGGGGAAGAAGGCCUUCGGGUUGUAAACCCCUUUCAGGAGGGACGAAGGUUCGGCGGUGAAUAGCCGUCCGGACUGACGGUACCUCCACAAGAAGCCCCGGCUAACUACGUG